UGUGUUUGCGGCAUUAACGCUCACCAGCAUUUC
rnacentral:scRNA from 1 species